AUUGAACGCUGGCGGCAGGCCUAACACAUGCAAGUCGAGCGGAUGAAGGGAGCUUGCUCCUGGAUUCAGCGGCGGACGGGUGAGUAAUGCCUAGGAAUCUGCCUGGUAGUGGGGGAUAACGUCCGGAAACGGGCGCUAAUACCGCAUACGUCCUGAGGGAGAAAGUGGGGGAUCUUCGGACCUCACGCUAUCAGAUGAGCCUAGGUCGGAUUAGCUAGUUGGUGGGGUAAAGGCCUACCAAGGCGACGAUCCGUAACUGGUCUGAGAGGAUGAUCAGUCACACUGGAACUGAGACACGGUCCAGACUCCUACGGGAGGCAGCAGUGGGGAAUAUUGGACAAUGGGCGAAAGCCUGAUCCAGCCAUGCCGUGUGUGCGAAGAAGGUCUUCGGAUUGUAAAGCACUUUAAGUUGGGAGGAAGGGCAGUAAGUUAAUACCUUGCUGUUUUGACGUUACCAACAGAAUAAGCACCGGCUAACUUCGU
rnacentral:rRNA from 1 species